CGAACCCCAGGUCAGGCGGGAAUCACCCGCUGAGUUUUAAGCAUAUCA
rnacentral:rRNA from 1 species